rfam:Synergistes sp. 3_1_syn1 genomic scaffold supercont1.3, whole genome shotgun sequence.
CAAUUAAACAUGGAGCAGGCGAUGACUCAACUUUGAGCGUGGGGCUGGGCCGGGACAACAACCCGGCAGCGGGCGAUGAAAUUUAUGCGGCUCGCGGGACCGUU